ACAGAGGGACCGGUUUGACCGGGCGGUACCCCAGUACUGCCUCUCUGAUCAGACUGGGGGCCCCUCGGAAAGUCACCAGAAGGGAGGACCUCUUCCUAUCCCGGCGGCUGUGCGGGGAACACGUUAGAAGGGUUGUGAGACUGCCCGCGGGAGAGGAUAGUAUUCCUGCGAGGUCUGACAAGGUUCCAAAGGUGCCAGGAAGUCUUCUGGAACUCCUCCCUCUUCCUGCUGCCCCUCUACUUCUGCCUAAGGAGACUGGCGCGGGCAGGAUGACGCCUUCACCUGGGGAUGGGGACCCAGCCGGGGUUUCAGGGAAGACCCACCCUCCGAGGAUCCGCCCCUAGACGGUGCCUUCAGCCCGGGGACUUGGCAAAGGAGCCGGGUCUGGGACCACCGCCCAAAGCGCGCCCGACCCCGUCACUGAAGGGGGUGGUCCUCAGGCACCCCUGCCCUUCUUCCCCAGCGCUCGGCACCCAGUCAGCGCUCAAUAAAUGUUUAUGAAUGGA